UACGAAGGGGGGCUAGCGUUGUUCGGAAUUACUGGGCGUAAAGCGCGCGCAGGCGGCUAUCCAAGUCCAGUGGUGAAAGCCCGGAGCUCAACUCCGGAACUGCCAUUGAAACUGUUUAGCUUGAGGAUGAGAGAGUGAGUGGAAUCCCAGUGUAGAGGUGAAAUUCGUAGAUAUUCGGAGGAACACCAGUGGCGAAGGCGGCUCACUGGUCCAUUACUGACGCUGAGGUGCGAAAGCGUGGGGAGCAAACAGG
rnacentral:rRNA from 1 species